CCUUAGAUGUUCUGGGCCGCACGCGCGCUACACUGACGGAUGCAACAAGCAUAGCUUCGCAAGAACAAACCUUGGCCGGAAGGUCUGGGCAAUCUUCGAACGUCCGUCGUGAUGGGGAUAGACCCUUGCAAUUAUUGGUCUUCAACGAGGAAUUCCUUGUAAGCGCAGUUCAUCAAACUGCGUUGAAUACGUCCCUGCCCUUUGUACACACCGCCCGUCGCUCCUACCGAUUGGAUGGUCCGGUGAACUCCUCGGAUCGUGCUAGCCGACUGGUCUCCAGCCGAGUUGGCGCGAGAAGUUGAGUAAACUUUAUCAUCUAGAGGAAGGAGAAGUCGUAACAAGGUU
rnacentral:rRNA from 1 species